UUGAACGCUGGCGGCAGGCCUAACCCGUGCAAGUCGAGCGGUAGAGAGAAGCUUGCUUCUCUUGAGAGCGGCGGACGGGUGAGUAAUGCCUAGGAAUCUGCCUGGUAGUGGGGGAUAACGUUCGGAAACGGACGCUAAUACCGCAUACGUCCUACGGGAGAAAGCAGGGGACCUUCGGGCCUUGCGCUAUCAGAUGAGCCUAGGUCGGAUUAGCUAGUUGGUGGGGUAAUGGCUCACCAAGGCGACGAUCCGUAACUGGUCUGAGAGGAUGAUCAGUCACACUGGAACUGAGACACGGUCCAGACUCCUACGGGAGGCAGCAGUGGGGAAUAUUGGACAAUGGGCGAAAGCCUGAUCCAGCCAUGCCGCGUGUGUGAAGAAGGUCUUCGGAUUGUAAAGCACUUUAAGUUGGGAGGAAGGGCAGUAAAUUAAUACUUUGCUGUUUUGACGUUACCGACAGAAUAAGCACCGGCUAACUCUGUG
rnacentral:rRNA from 1 species